AGAGUUUGAUCCUGGCUCAGGACGAACGCUGGCGGCGUGCUUAACACAUGCAAGUCAGGGAGAAAGGAGUAGCAAUACUCUGAGUAAACCGGCGAACGGGUGAGUAAUACGUAGGCAACUUACCUUGUGAACGGGGAUAACCCCGCGAAAGCGGGGCUAAUACCCGAUGAAGUUCAGUUACAGCAUUGUAGCGGAAUGAAAGAUCCCAAAAGGAUGUCACAAGAUGAGCCCGCGUACCAUUAGCUUGUUGGUGGGGUAAUGGCCUACCAAGGCGACGAUGGUUAGCUGGUCUGAGAGGAUGAUCAGCCACACUGGAACUGGAACACGGUCCAGACUCCUACGGGAGGCAGCAGUGAGGAAUUUUGCGCAAUGGGGGAAACCCUGACGCAGCAACGCCGCGUGAGUGAUGAAGGCUUUCGGGUCGUAAAGCUCUGUCAAGUGGGAAGAAGUUGUGCAUGGCUAAUAUCUGUGCACAUUGACGGUACCACUGAAGGAAGCACCGGCUAACUCCGUGCCAGCAGCCGCGGUAAUACGGAGGGUGCAAGCGUUAUUCGGAUUUACUGGGCGUAAAGGGCGCGUAGGCGGCUUGAUAAGUCAGUCGUGAAAGCCCGGGGCUCAACCCCGGAAGUGCGAUUGAAACUAUCAGGCUUGAGUAUGGUAGAGGGAAGUGGAAUUCCAGGUGUAGCGGUGAAAUGCGUAGAUAUCUGGAGGAACACCGGUGGCGAAGGCGACUUCCUGGACCAAUACUGACGCUGAUGCGCGAAGGUGUGGGUAGCAAACAGGAUUAGAUACCCUGGUAGUCC
rnacentral:rRNA from 1 species